GCCAAGCUGCCCUGGGGGCUUGAGCCUCCUCACUGAGGCUUCAACACCUGCGGACUUGCUUUCUUGGGCUGUUGAUUGAGGUACCGGUGGGGGGAGGCAGUCAUUCUCUUGGGGUGAAUGGGUAAGAUUCCUUUCCUGCGUUAGGGGUCUUUUCAUCCCUUUGAGUUGCCUCCUGUUUGGGGAAGACACCAUCUCAGAACUUAGGUCUUCAAACAACACUAUUUCCCAUGAGCCUGUGGUUGACAGGUGUCAGCUGGGUGGCUCUUCCUCUCUGCGCACUGGGAGCUGGGAAUUGUUGCACGGCUGGGUGCUGGGCUCCACAGGAAAGAAGCAGAGGCUGCUGGUCCCCCGAGGUUUCUCUCCAUGCAGCGUCUUGAAAGUGAGUAGCAAAGCCAAGCUGUCCACGAGGACAAGCCCCUGGGGGCAUGUGCUGAUGGAGCCACUGCUUGUGCUGAACCAGCUCCCUGGAAUCACGGGACCAAGCUGGGUGUCCACGUGGGAGGGGAAUUAGCAAAGGCAGGCCUCCCCCAACCCAAGCGGGUUUCCUGGAGGCCCCUGAUGUGGUAUAAACUCCCAUAGCCUCAUUUUCCUCUCUCGCUUAGGAACUCACCUGAAUCCUUACUGGAACAGGGCAGCAGCCAGGGCUGAGUUUCCUGGCUCUCUGUCCACUAGCAUCCGUGCUGCUGGGCUCGGGGCCUGGGCUGUGACCAGGAGGAGGUCACACAGCCCCCAGCUCCUGUGCUUUGUGCCAGUGGAGGCUUCUGGCCCUGGGUGGCCACAGUCUGCAGGGCGGAGAUGCAGAGGCCUGGCAGAUGGGGCACCGAGGCACUUCGUGGGAAGAGGAAUGGACUUACCCCUGCAUCCCUGCCCCACGGCUCGGCAAGGGGCUCCAUCAUCCCCUGCAGCCUUUGGGGGGCCACGGAGGAGCAGCCAUUCUCUUCCUCCCAAGGCACCGUCACAAAGACAAGCUCACAGUGUGAUGGGCUCAUCGGGAUUUGCCGGUGCUUUGAAAGCCACCCUUGGGCCCCACGUGGACCGCCCGUGGUAAGCCCCUGGGCAAAGCUCCCUGCACAGACAGACACCCUGGUCCUGCCGGCUGCCUCUGUCCCCUUCUCACGGAGCCCUGGGUAGUGGUGGUGCUGGGAAGGCCCGGGUUGGAGUCACAUUUCAGGGUACUUUCUCUAGUGCCCCACUUGGCUGCCAAGGCCCAACCACCAUGGGCUUUCCCCCCCUAGAAGUGGGGAGGAUUUGGCAAAACGCCCGCUCUCUUCCAGCAACAAUUAGCUGGGCUGGGUGUCAGCUGGGACCAAUUCAGUUGUUUAUCGCUGCCUUUGAGCUGCACUUUUCUUAGGGCAGCGUUGAGUCAGCACCUUUGGUCUCCGAAGAUAGACUGUAUGGCACUAAACACAGGCCCCCUCACGCAUAUGCACCUAGAAACCACACAUGCAUGCACACA
rnacentral:lncRNA from 9 species